rnacentral:ncRNA from 1 species
AAAGACUUAGUCCUAACCUUACAGUUAAUUCUUGCUAAACAUAUACAUGCAAGUAUCCGCGCCCCAGUGUAAAUGCCCUCAAUCUCUUUCUCUAAGGGAAGAGGAGCAGGCAUCAGGCACGCCCACAGUUGCAGCCCAAGACGCCUUGCUUAGCCACACCCCCACGGGUACUCAGCAGUAGUUGACAUUAAGCAAUGAGUGCAAACUUGACUUAGUUACAGCAAUUUCUAGGGUUGGUAAAUCUUGUGCCAGCCACCGCGGUCAUACAAGAGACCCAAAUUAACCGUAUGCGGCGUAAAGAGUGGUCCCAUGAUAUCACAGCAACUAGGACUGAAAUGCAACUAGGCUGUCAUAAGCUCAAGAUGCACUUAAAGCCACCUUUAAAAUGAUCCUAGCAUCUCUGAUUAAUUUAACUCCACGAAAGCUAGGGCACAAACUGGGAUUAGAUACCCCAUUAUGCCUAGCCCUAAAUCUCGAUGUUUACUGUACCAAAACAUCCGCCUGAGAACUACGAGCACAAACGCUUAAAACUCUAAGGACUUGGCGGUGCCCCAAACCCACCUAGAGGAGCCUGUUCUGUAAUCGAUAACCCACGAUCCACCCGACCACCCCUCGCCAAAGCAGCCUACAUACCGCCGUCGCCAGCCCACCUCCACCUGAGAGCCCCACAGUGAGCAUAAUAGCCCAAACCCGCUAAUAAGACAGGUCAAGGUAUAGCCUAUGGGGUGGAAGAAAUGGGCUACAUUUUCUACAAUAGAAAAUCCACGGAAGAGGGUAUGAAACACAGCCCUCGGAAGGCGGAUUUAGCAGUAAAGCGGGACAAUAGAGCCCUCUUUAAGCUGGCCCUGAGGCACGUACAUACCGCCCGUCACCCUCCUCACAAGCCACUAAUUUCCAUAACUAAUAAACUUUCUGGCUGAAGAUGAGGUAAGUCGUAACAAGGUAAGUGUACCGGAAGGUGCACUUAGCAUAC